rnacentral:rRNA from 1 species
CCUACGGGUGGCUGCAGUGGGGAAUCUUUCGCAAUGGGCGAAAGCCUGACGCAGCGACGCCGCGUGAGGGAUGAAGGUCUUCGGAUCGUAAACCCCUGUCAGUAGGGAAGAACGGUCACUGUGCUAAUCAGCAGUGAAUUGACGGUACCUGCAAAGGAAGCACCGGCUAACUCCGUGCCAGCAGCCGCGGUAAUACGGAGGGUGCGAGCGUUAAUCGGAAUUACUGGGCGUAAAGCGCUCGUAGGCGGUAGGUCAAGUCAAGGGUGAAAGCCCCGCGCUCAACGUGGGAACUGCCUUUGAAACUGGCAAACUAGAGUGUUGGAGAGGAUAGUGGAAUUCCAGGUGUAGGAGUGAAAUCCGGAGAGAGCUGGAGGAACAUCAGUGGCGAAGGCGACUAUCUGGCACAUAACUGACGCUGAGGAGCGAAAGCGUGGGUAGCAAACAGGAUUAGAUACCCCUGUAGUC